UUUGUUUUUUGUUUUGUUUUGUUUUGUUUUUGAGACUUUUUUUUUAAAUAUGCCCCAUGCAAUAUUUGGGAUAUGCUUACAAAAAUUAUUUGUUGUUCCUCUGAAAUCCAAAUUCAGCUGAGCAUCCUGUAUUUUUAUUUGCAAAACCUGGCAACCCCAGGCAUGCAUGAAUGGAUGAAUAUCUGCAAAGAUAAACAUAGAACAAGGUGUAUUUGAAAUAUGAGCCAACUGCUACAUUUCUCAAAUUCAAAAAUAAAAGGCUCUGCAUGAAUGGCUUCUAUAUGUGGAAGAAGGAUGUGUUCAAAUAGAUAGUGUUUAUAUGGGAGAUCAAUUAAGUCCCUUAAUUAGUUUAAAAUCUAAUGAAAGCAGGAAAAUAUAUAAUAAAUUGGUUUUCAUUGCUGUUUUCUGUCCCAUUCACCUAGACCUCCAAGUUCAAAACCUUAGGGUGGGCUUCUUUUAUGGCUUUAAUUUUCAUAUGUGAACUAAGGAUAUUUCCAACUUGUCAAUUUGUUUUCAAUUCCUCUUAAAUUAGAUCCUCCGUUCCAGUUUCUAUAAACCCAUUUUUGUCUGGAUCUGAUUCCUGUUCAUUUCUUGCAUGGUUGCCAGGAUCCUCUCUCUUUUUCACUAGUAUCAUUGUGUCACUCUCAGGUUUAAACCUUCUCAUGUUCCUUGUCCUGGGAGCUGUAGACUGGUCAUUCUUAGGCUGUAUCAGCCCAGCAGGUAUCUUUAAUUUAGCUCACAUUGUAGUGAAAAAGAGUAAACAUUUAAUAUUAGGAGCAUUUCCUUUAAAAUCUGGGUAUCUGGCUGCAUUCGAAAGAUCUGAAGAUCUGGCCACACCAGAUCUGCAUCUAUUCCUGAGUAGAAACUUCCUUCUUUAGACAGUAUGUCUGUCUUCAUCUGUUUCAGUGACUUGGCUGGCAGCUGACACUGGAUUAUAUUCAAAUGCCUCUAUAGUGAUUUUUGGAGACUUCUAAAAUAUCUUUCCUGUCCUCCACUUUAGUCCAAUACCCAGAAAUUUCCUUUUGGAUUAGGCCAAUAGCCCUAGAAAUCUCCUUUUGUUCCCUGUUACUUCUUCACCUUGAGUAGCCAUGAGAAGUUGAAUCCACAUUCUCUUCCUCAGUUCAGACUAUUUUGUCUUUAUGUUGAUUCCCUAUUUAAAAUGUUUUCUGUACAAUCUCACCAACACUGGUCAUUACCUGGAUUUUCUUUCUGAAAGUUAAUGUGCAGAUAUUCUCUAGGUGUUUCUUAGAAGCUUGACUUUUCUUGCCAGGAUGACUGUAUCAGCUCCCUGAGGACAAGAGCUUUUCUGGCCACCUCUUCUAGUAGUUCUGGGUAUCCAGAAGUACUCAGAAAGUAGUUGGUGCAUGAAAUGACUAUACCACAAUCUAAUCAUCAUGUAAAGAGAAAAGUGGGCCUGAAUUUAUUCCUUUUCUGAAUAGUAUACUAGUAUGGUUUGAAAUUAGUCAUUUUCCUGACAUCAACUAUUUAGAAAAAGUAGCAUGUAAGAAAUAGAAACUGAGAAAGCUCUUUCAAAGUUCUGUUUAAAGUAAUUUAAUAAAGCCCCUGUAUUAAACCACAUUAUCUCACUUUAUUCCGUAGAUAUAUUUGAUUCUAUGACCAAUAAAAACUAAAAAUUUCAUUUGCCCUUACUUCUUAUGAGAUUAUUAAACUCAAAGAUCCAAUUUUCUAUCAUUUUAAGAAGGCUGAUUAUUUAAAUGUUAAAAGCUUGAAAUGAGGAAAUAAAGUAUUCUCUUGGUUUGUAUGUAUCUAUUAAAGCACAAGGGAAUAGAAGCAAAGUCUGAAUCCUAAGAAAAAAAUUAGCUAUGUGAGCAGGUACCAAAAUCUAUUUAAACUGAUAUGUAAAAAACAGUAAGUUUUAAAUAAUUUACUUUAAUUGUACAUCUUUAAAAAAUAAGAUUCAAAGCAGUCCAAAAAGCAGUAUUUCCUCGUUCAAAAAAUUUUUUCUAUAUACUAUAAUUACCUUUAAAGAAUAUUUUUUAAAGGUUCAAAGUCAAAAAAUUAAUUAGUAAGAAAUCCACUCACAGUAGGGAUUAGCAAACAAUCUGUGUUUUCCUAAAUCAGCUCCUCUUGAUAUGUUGUCAGGAUCAUGAGGCAUGACAAAUGUUAAAUGGGCUUACUGCCGAGAACUCAUCCAUAAGGUAUAACCAUUCUCUCUUACACAGACACAUGCACACACACACACACACACACACACACACACACACACAGACAUGAAACUCAAGUGAAUAAAAUAGCAAACAUGCAUGGAUUAGCCUCUUUCAUUAUAGUCAGUGAAAAUGAAAAUAACAUUAUGAACAAAUCCCUUAGGACAGGCUCAGUGUGCCGAUAUACUAUGUGAACUAUGAAUUGUAUUGUUCAUAAAUUUAAUGUGUAUGUAAAUUUAUAUAUAAACUUAUAUGUAAAUAUAUGGCUUGGAAGAUGCUUAUUCACUAACAAAAAGAACAAAAACAUUGCUCAAGAAUUGAAUCUUUGGAGAAGUAGAGAAGAAUUUUGGAUAAAAUAUAUAGAAGGACACUAGUUUCUGAUUAAAUUAUAAGAU
rnacentral:lncRNA from 1 species